rnacentral:tRNA from 1 species
GGGUGUUUAGCUCAGCUGGUUCAGAGCAUCUGCCUUACAAGCAGAGGGUCGGGGGUUCGAAUCCCUCAACACCCA